UACGUAGGGUGCGAGCGUUGUCCGGAAUUACUGGGCGUAAAGAGCUCGUAGGUGGUUUGUCGCGUUGUUCGUGAAAACCGGGGGCUUAACCCUCGGCGUGCGGGCGAUACGGGCAGACUGGAGUACUGCAGGGGAGACUGGAAUUCCUGGUGUAGCGGUGGAAUGCGCAGAUAUCAGGAGGAACACCGGUGGCGAAGGCGGGUCACUGGCCCGGUACUGACGCUGAGGUGCGAAAGCGUGGGGAGCAAACAGG
rnacentral:rRNA from 1 species